rnacentral:rRNA from 1 species
CCUACGGGGGGCAGCAGUGGGGAAUAUUGCACAAUGGGCGCAAGCCUGAUGCAUCCAUGCCGCGUGUAUGAAGAAGGCCUUCGGGUUGUAAAGUACUUUCAGCGGGGAGGAAGGUGUUGAGGUUAAUAACCUCAGCAAUUGACGUUACCCGCAAAAGAAGCACCGGCUAACUCCGUGCCAGCAGCCGCGGUAAUACGGAGGGUGCAAGCGUUAAUCGGAAUUACUGGGCGUAAAGCGCACGCAGGCGGUCUGUCAAGUCGGAUGUGAAAUCCCCGGGCUCAACCUGGGAACUGCAUUCGAAACUGGCAGGCUGGAGUCUUGUAGAGGGGGGUAGAAUUCCAGGUGUACCGGUGAAAUGCGUAGAGAUCUGGAGGAAUACCGGUGGCGAAGGCGGCCCCCUGGACAAAGACUGACGCUCAUGUGCGAAAGCGUGGGGAGCAAACAGGAUUACAUACCCUAAUAGUC